ACGUCACCACCUUCGCGUCUUUUCUGGAGAGCGCGGGAAGACACCGAGAUGAACCCAGCAGGCAAGCUGGCAGGAAGUCAGACUGCGGCCCUUGCCUGAGAGGAUGACACAGGCCAAAGGAGAGAAGGAAAACAACAAGGCAGCCAGAGCUAGGGUCUGUGCUCAGCUCUGGAAGAUGCAGCCAUGGGUGAAUCAACUCUCCUUGCUUCAAGUUUAUGCUUCAUUAGGAGAGAUAAGAAAGCCAAGGCCUGCAGCGUGUGUUAGUUCCAGGUCAGAGAUCAAACCCAAGCCAUAGUAGUGACCUGAGACACUGCCGUGACAAUGCUGGAUCCUUAACCAACUGUGCUUGGCCCAGGAUCGAACCUGCAUCCCAGCGCUCCAGAGACACCACCAAUUCUGUUGUGCCACAGUGGGAACGCUCUCUCUCUCUCUCUCUCUUUUUUUAAUUGGUGGGGGAAGAAAAGGAUACAGUGAGACAGCUCAGUCCAUAGCCCACUUCUGGUUCUUUCUGACUAUGACAUGAAGGAUUUUUCAAAUCUUUGCAUACCAGAAAUCGCUGAUUUUUCCUUUCAAAGAGGAUUGCCUCCCACCCUGUCCUUGUUCUUCCCUAAGUUCCAUCAUUAGUUUCCCAGGGCCUUGCUGGGGGAAGGUUCCCCCCUCUGAGAAUAUGGUAGGAAUGAAACUUGCUAGAAAAAUGCGAAGCAUUCCCAGCUUUGCCACCUCCACAUGGCAGCAGGCUGCAAUGCUAUCUUUGUGCCUUCAGAUAAAGAGAUCAAAGUUUCUUCAAGAGCUGAUUCCCCAGGCUGAUUUGCAUGGGGGUGGGGUGGGGUAGGGAGUGUGAGGAUAAGCAAGAUAGGAUGCAAGUGGAAAUUUCUAUUUCAAAGGUGAAGUCUCCAGCAUGGCCAGCAGGACUGGAUCUGCACUAGCAAGGAACCAGCCCUGUUCUCUGGCUGGGGGAUCAGACAUAAGGUUUAAGGCAGAGUCUGACCUCAGUCUAGAAUUCUGGGAUGUCUACACUGGAAGGUGCCUUAGGCCUAGCUAAGCCAACCCACUCAUUUUACAGAUGGGGAUAUUGAGGUCUCAGAAGUGGCAGACUAGACCUGGAGACGAGUGCUCUUGACUUUUUUCCUGAAAUAUAUUUGAUAUAUAAUAUUGUGUAAUUGUGUAAAUUUAGGGGAUAUAACAUGUUAAUUUGAUGCAUUUUUAUAUUGUAAUAUGAUUGCCAUUGUAGCAAUAAUUAGCACCUCUGUCAUGAUAACUAUCCUUUAUUUUUAGUGGUUGGACCAUUAAGUUCUAGUCUCUCAGUAAAAUUUUUUAAUUUUGUCUUUUUAGGGCCACACCCGUGGCAUAGGGAGGUUCCCAGGCUAGGGGUCCAAUCGGAGCUGUAGCUGCCGGUCAACACCACAGCCACAGCAAUGCCGGAUCCGAGCUGCAUCUGUGACCUGCACCACAGUUCACUGCAAUGCUGGCUCCUUAACCUAAUAAGCAAGGCCAGGGAUCGAACCUGUGUCCUCAUGGAUACUAGUCGGAUUCGUUACCACUGAGCCACGAAGGGAACUCCAUCUCAGUAAAUUUGAUGAUUAUUAUAUUGCUGUCUAUAUUCACUAUACUGUGCAUUAAAUCUCUAGGGCUUAUUUACUACUCGUUGCAACUUCUCUUGGCUUUAUGUCCAGUGUACUUUCCAUGACCUCUUGCUGUUUUCAUCCACUAGUGUGUGAGUAUAUGGGUAUAGAUUCAUCAAUAAAUAAAACUUGAGAGAUUAAUAAAAC
ensembl:lncRNA